rnacentral:rRNA from 1 species
GAUCAUGGCUCAGGAUGAACGCUGGCGGCGUGCUUAACACAUGCAAGUCGAACGAAGCACUUCGAUUUCUUCGGAUUGAGGAGUGACUGAGUGGCGGACGGGUGAGUAACGCGUGGGUAACCUGCCUCAUACAGGGGGAUAACAGUUAGAAAUGACUGCUAAUACCGCAUAAGCGCACAGUACCGCAUGGUACGGUGUGAAAAACUCCGGUGGUAUGAGAUGGACCCGCGUCUGAUUAGCUAGUUGGUGAGGUAACGGCUCACCAAGGCGACGAUCAGUAGCCGACCUGAGAGGGUGACCGGCCACAUUGGGACUGAGACACGGCCCAAACUCCUACGGGAGGCAGCAGUGGGGAAUAUUGCACAAUGGGCGAAAGCCUGAUGCAGCGACGCCGCGUGAACGAAGAAGUAUUUCGGUAUGUAAAGUUCUAUCAGCAGGGAAGAAAAUGACGGUACCUGACUAAGAAGCACCGGCUAAAUACGUG